rnacentral:rRNA from 1 species
AUACGUAGGGAGCGAGCGUUGUCCGGAAUUACUGGGUGUAAAGGGAGCGUAGGCGGGACUGCAAGUCAGAUGUGAAAUACCGGGGCUUAACCCCGGAGCUGCAUUUGAAACUGUGGUUCUUGAGUGAAGUAGAGGCAAGCGGAAUUCCUGGUGUAGCGGGGAAAUGCGUAGAUAUCAGGAGGAACACCGGUGGCGAAGGCGGCUUGCUGGGCUUUUACUGACGCUGAGGCUCGAAAGCGUGGGUAGCAAACAGGAUUAGAUACCCUGGUAGUCCACGCUGUAAACGAUGAUUACUAGGUGUGGGGGGACUGACCCCUUCCGUGCCGCAGUUAACACAAUAAGUAAUCCACCUGGGGAGUACGGCCGCAAGGUUGAAACUCAAAUGAAUUGACGGGG